UACAGGGGGUGCAAACGUUGCUCGGAAUCAUUGGGCGUAAAGCGCACGUAGGCGGUCUGUUAUGUCGGAUGUGAAAGCCCUUGGCUCAACUGAGGAAGUGCAUCCGAAACUGGCAGGCUAGAGUACUAAAGAGGAUCGCGGAAUUCCCGGUGUAGUGGUGAAAUGCGUAGAUAUCGGGAGGAACACCAGUGGCGAAGGCGACUUUCUGGCCUGUUCUUGACGCUGAGGCGCGAAAGCUAGGGGAGCAAACGGG
rnacentral:rRNA from 1 species